UGGCGGAGGAUUUUUAUUUUAUAACAUACAGUUUAAUUAAAGUGAAAAAGUUACCACCAAGGGUUUUCUGCAGUAGGGAGACAUGUGGAACAACUCCUUCUGGAAUUGGAAUAAAAAUCACCGCCAUUUUGGAGAAACCACCAUGUGAAGUCGUAGCCCCUUUGACCAGCUAGGGCAACCAUUACAGCCACAGUCAAGUCACUGGGAAUAUGUCAAUUAGGGAAACACACUUUGGGACGUCCAGUCCCAUUUUCUGUCAUCUUUCCACCUGCACCUACGGAUAGGACAGGUUAGCACUCUCCGUGUGCUCAUUCAAUGGAUUGCAGCAUCGAACCUUAUCUGGAAGUCGUUCGAUAAAUGGAUUUGUUUCGGAACAUGUAGUGUUGUGCAUUGAGUAACUAUUGGUUUUUAUAUUUCAGACAUUUGGUUUAAUGCACUAUGUUAAUUCGUUUCAGUAUUUAUCUUAGCUUCAUUUUUAUAACUUUUAUUAAUACAUUUGCUUAAUUCAUUAUUGUAUUUUCUCUUAGUGAGGCUUGUUGUCGGUUUCAAUUUAGUGGUACGUAGCAAGCGUACUAUCACCAUUUGGUAGAAGACUCAUGUGAAUUGUACCCUAUAUGUAAGUAAGAGGUACUUAUGUAAUUUUGUAACCGAUAACAUUAUUGUUGUUAUCUUAGAUAUAACCUUUGUAUAACUUUUGUCAUGUUAUGAGUCACAGUAUAUGCUUUGUCUAGCUCGGAGAUUGUUAAAAAUCUGGUAGUUAAUUUUAAUAAAUGUUUAUUUAUUUU
rnacentral:lncRNA from 1 species